rnacentral:rRNA from 1 species
GAUGAACGCUGGCGGCGUGCCUAAUACAUGCAAGUCGAGCGAACAGACGAGGAGCUUGCUCCUCUGACGUUAGCGGCGGACGGGUGAGUAACACGUGGAUAACCUACCUAUAAGACUGGGAUAACUUCGGGAAACCGGAGCUAAUACCGGAUAAUAUAUUGAACCGCAUGGUUCAAUAGUGAAAGACGGUUUUGCUGUCACUUAUAGAUGGAUCCGCGCCGCAUUAGCUAGUUGGUAAGGUAACGGCUUACCAAGGCAACGAUGCGUAGCCGAACUGAGAGGGUGAUCGGCCACACUGGAACUGAGACACGGUCCAGACUCCUACGGGAGGCAGCAGUAGGGAAUCUGCCGCAAUAGGCGAAAGCCUGACGGAGCAACGCCGCGUGAGUGAUGAAGGUCUUCGGAUCGUAAAACUCUGUUAUUAGGGAAGAACAAAUGUGUAAGUAACUAUGCACGUCUUGACGGUACCUAAUCAGAAAGCCACGGCUAACUACGUG